UUGCAAGGCACAAGAGCACCAACGCUCCUUCCUGCACUAGUGCACUAAACGCUCUCAAAGCACCCUCUUUAACUGAAUUCAAGAAACUUCUAUGGUUUCCUUAAUCAGCUCAGUCAAAAGAGCACCAAAAGCAUGUAGGAUCCAACAACACUGGAGAAGUAGAAUGGCUCAAGAAGCCAAGCAUUAGAUCCGAGCAGCUGCCCACUUAGCUUUAGGCAGAAAUCAG
rnacentral:lncRNA from 1 species